rnacentral:rRNA from 6 species
GGGUUGUGAGGUUAAGCGACUAAGCGUACACGGUGGAUGCCCUGGCAGUCAGAGGCGAUGAAGGACGUGCUAAUCUGCGAUAAGCGCCGGUAAGGUGAUAUGAACCGUUAUAACCGGCGAUUUCCGAAUGGGGAAACCCAGUGUGAUUCGUCACACUAUCAUUAACUGAAUCCAUAGGUUAAUGAGGCGAACCGGGGGAACUGAAACAUCUAAGUACCCCGAGGAAAAGAAAUCAACCGAGAUUCCCCCAGUAGCGGCGAGCGAACGGGGAGGAGCCCAGAGCCUGAAUCAGCAUGUGUGUUAGUGGAAGCGUCUGGAAAGGUGCGCGAUACAGGGUGACAGCCCCGUACACAAAAGCGCAUGUGCUGUGAGCUCGAUGAGUAGGGCGGGACACGUGGUAUCCUGUCUGAAUAUGGGGGGACCAUCCUCCAAGGCUAAAUACUCCUGACUGACCGAUAGUGAACCAGUACCGUGAGGGAAAGGCGAAAAGAACCCCGGCGAGGGGAGUGAAAAAGAACCUGAAACCGUGUACGUACAAGCAGUGGGAGCACAGGUUUACCUGUGUGACUGCGUACCUUUUGUAUAAUGGGUCAGCGACUUAUAUUCUGUAGCAAGGUUAACCGUAUAGGGGAGCCGUAGGGAAACCGAGUCUUAACCGGGCGUUAAGUUGCAGGGUAUAGACCCGAAACCCGGUGAUCUAGCCAUGGGCAGGUUGAAGGUUGGGUAACACUAACUGGAGGACCGAACCGACUAAUGUUGAAAAAUUAGCGGAUGACCUGUGGCUGGGGGUGAAAGGCCAAUCAAACCGGGAGAUAGCUGGUUCUCCCCGAAAGCUAUUUAGGUAGCGCCUCGUGAAUUCAUCUCCGGGGGUAGAGCACUGUUUCGGCUAGGGGGCCAUCCCGGCUUACCAACCCGAUGCAAACUGCGAAUACCGGAGAAUGUUAUCACGGGAGACACACGGCGGGUGCUAACGUCCGUCGUGAAGAGGGAAACAACCCAGACCGCCAGCUAAGGUCCCAAAGUCAUGGUUAAGUGGGAAACGAUGUGGGAAGGCCCAGACAGCCAGGAUGUUGGCUUAGAAGCAGCCAUCAUUUAAAGAAAGCGUAAUAGCUCACUGGUCGAGUCGGCCUGCGCGGAAGAUGUAACGGGGCUAAACCAUGCACCGAAGCUGCGGCAGCGAACGUAUCACUUAAAGCGAUUCAGCGGGUUACGAUUGACGGAGCGAAGCGACGUCAAAGCGUAUACAAAGUCGAGUCGGUUUAAGGAUACGUUCGUUGGGUAGGGGAGCGUUCUGUAAGCCCGUGAAGGUGGCCUGUGAGGGUUGCUGGAGGUAUCAGAAGUGCGAAUGCUGACAUAAGUAACGAUAAAGCGGGUGAAAAGCCCGCUCGCCGGAAGACCAAGGGUUCCUGUCCAACGUUAAUCGGGGCAGGGUGAGUCGACCCCUAAGGCGAGGCCGAAAGGCGUAGUCGAUGGGAAACGGGUUAAUAUUCCCGUACUUGGUGUUACUGCGAAGGGGGGACGGAGAAGGCUAUGUUGGCCGGGCGACGGUUGUCCCGGUUUAAGCGUGUAGGUGUGUGUUCCAGGUAAAUCCGGUUCACUUUAACACUGAGGCGUGACGACGAGGCACUACGGUGCUGAAGCAACAAAUGCCCUGCUUCCAGGAAAAGCCUCUAAGCAUCAGGUAACAUCAAAUCGUACCCCAAACCGACACAGGUGGUCAGGUAGAGAAUACCAAGGCGCUUGAGAGAACUCGGGUGAAGGAACUAGGCAAAAUGGUGCCGUAACUUCGGGAGAAGGCACGCUGACACGUAGGUGAAGUGAUUUACUCAUGGAGCUGAAGUCAGUCGAAGAUACCAGCUGGCUGCAACUGUUUAUUAAAAACACAGCACUGUGCAAACACGAAAGUGGACGUAUACGGUGUGACGCCUGCCCGGUGCCGGAAGGUUAAUUGAUGGGGUCAGCGCAAGCGAAGCUCCUGAUCGAAGCCCCGGUAAACGGCGGCCGUAACUAUAACGGUCCUAAGGUAGCGAAAUUCCUUGUCGGGUAAGUUCCGACCUGCACGAAUGGCGUAAUGAUGGCCAGGCUGUCUCCACCCGAGACUCAGUGAAAUUGAACUCGCUGUGAAGAUGCAGUGUACCCGCGGCAAGACGGAAAGACCCCGUGAACCUUUACUAUAGCUUGACACUGAACAUUGAGCCUUGAUGUGUAGGAUAGGUGGGAGGCUUUGAAGUGUGGACGCCAGUCUGCAUGGAGCCGACCUUGAAAUACCACCCUUUAAUGUUUGAUGUUCUAACGUGGACCCGUAAUCCGGGUUGCGGACAGUGUCUGGUGGGUAGUUUGACUGGGGCGGUCUCCUCCUAAAGAGUAACGGAGGAGCACGAAGGUUGGCUAAUCCUGGUCGGACAUCAGGAGGUUAGUGCAAUGGCAUAAGCCAGCUUGACUGCGAGCGUGACGGCGCGAGCAGGUGCGAAAGCAGGUCAUAGUGAUCCGGUGGUUCUGAAUGGAAGGGCCAUCGCUCAACGGAUAAAAGGUACUCCGGGGAUAACAGGCUGAUACCGCCCAAGAGUUCAUAUCGACGGCGGUGUUUGGCACCUCGAUGUCGGCUCAUCACAUCCUGGGGCUGAAGUAGGUCCCAAGGGUAUGGCUGUUCGCCAUUUAAAGUGGUACGCGAGCUGGGUUUAGAACGUCGUGAGACAGUUCGGUCCCUAUCUGCCGUGGGCGCUGGAGAACUGAGGGGGGCUGCUCCUAGUACGAGAGGACCGGAGUGGACGCAUCACUGGUGUUCGGGUUGUCAUGCCAAUGGCACUGCCCGGUAGCUAAAUGCGGAAGAGAUAAGUGCUGAAAGCAUCUAAGCACGAAACUUGCCCCGAGAUGAGUUCUCCCUGAGACUUAGAGUCUCCUGAAGGAACGUUGAAGACGACGACGUUGAUAGGCCGGGUGUGUAAGCGCAGCGAUGCGUUGAGCUAACCGGUACUAAUGAACCGUGAGGCUUAACCUUACAACGCCGAAG